CAGUGAUCCCAUCCAUCCCAGCGAUCCCCCCCAUCAUUCAAUGAUCCCAUCCAUCCCAGUGAUCCCAUCCAUCAUCCAAUGAUGCCAUCCAUCCCAGUGACCCCACCCAUCGUUCAGUGCUCCAACCCAUCCCUCCCAAUGAUCCCAGUGACCCCACCCACCAUUCGGUGAUCCCAUCCAUCCCAAUGAUCCCAUCCAUCCCAGCGAUCCCACCCAUCAUCCAAUGAUCCCAUCCAUCCCAGCACCACCACCUCGGUGACCCCACUGAUGCCACCAGUGAUCCAGUCCAUCCCACCAAUGAUCCCAUCCAUCCCAGUGAUCCCAUCCAUCCCACCAAUGAUCCCAUCCAUCCCAGCGAUCCCCCCCAUCAUUCAAUGAUCCCAUCCAUCCCAGUGACCCCACCCAUCGUUCAGUUGACCCAUCCAUCCCAGUGAUCCCAUCCAUCAUCCAAUGAUGCCAUCCAUCCCAGUGACCCCACCCACCAUUCAGUGAUCCCAUCCAUGCCAAUGAUCCCAUCCAUCCCAGCACCACCACCUCGGUGACCCCACUGAUGCCACCAGUGAUCCCGCCCAUCCCACCAAUGAUCCCAUCCAUCCCAAUGAUCCCAUCCAUCCCAGUGAUCCCAUCCAUCAUCCAAUGAUGCCAUCCAUCCCACUGACCCCACCCAUCAUUCAGUGACCCCACCCAUCCCAGUGAUCCCAGCGAUCCCACCCACCAUUCGGUGCUCCCAUCCAUCCCAGUGAUCCCAUCCGUCAUCCAAUGGUGCCAUCCAUCCCAGUGACCCCACCCAUCAUCCAAUGAUCCCAUCUAUCCCAGCACCACCACCUCGGUGACCCCACUCAUGCCACCAGUGAUCCCACCCAUCCCAGUGAUCCCAUCCUUCCCCCGAUCCCAUCCAUCAUUCAAUGAUCGCAUCCAUCCCAGUGAUCCCAUCCAUCAUCCAAUGAUGCCAUCCAUCCCACUGACCCCACCCAUCAUUCAGUGAUCCCACCCACCCAGUGAUCCCAGCGAUCCCACCCACCAUUCGGUGAUCCCAUCCAUCCCCGCACCACCAUCUCGGUGAUCCCACUGAUGCCACCAGUGAUCCCGCCCAUCCCACCGCUGAUCCCACCCAUCCCAGUGAUCCCAUCCUUCCCCCGAUCCCAUCCAUCAUUCAAUGAUCGCAUCCUUCCCUGUGAUCCCCCCCAUCAUCCAAUGAUGCCAUCCAUCCCAGUGACCCCACCCAUCAUACAGUGAUCCCACCCAUCCCAGUGAUCCCAGCGAUCCCACCCACCAUUCGGUGAUCCCAUCCAUCCCAAUGAUCCCAUCCGUCAUCCAAUGGUGCCAUCCAUCCCAGUGACCCCACCCAUCAUCCAAUGAUCCCAUCCAUCCCACCAAUGAUCCCCUCCAUCCCAGUGAUCCCAUCCAUCAUCCAAUGAUGCCAUCCAUCCCAGUGACCCCACGCAUCAUACAGUGAUCCCACCCAUCCCAGAGAUCCCAGUGAUCCCACCCACCAUUCGGUGACCCCAUCCAUCCCAGUGAUCCCACCCAUCAUUCAGUGAUCCCAUCCACCCCAGAACCACCACCUCGGUGACCCCACUGAUGCCACCAGUGAUCCCACCCAUCCCACCAAUGAUCCCAUCCAUCCCAAUGAUCCCAUCCAUCCCAUAACCACCACCUCGGUGACCACACUGAUCCCGCCAAUGAUCCCAUCCAUCCCAAUGAUCUCAUCCAUCCCACUGAUCCCACUCACCAUUCGGUGAUCCCAUCCAUUCCAGUGAUCCCAUCCAUCCCAAUGAUCCCAUCCAUUAUCCAAUGAUGCCAUCCAUCCCAGUGAUCCCAUCCAUCCCAGUGAUCCCAUCCAUCCCAGAGAUCCCACCCAUCAUUCGGUGAUCCCAUCCAUCCCAGCACCACCACGUCAGUGACCCCACUGAUGCCACCAGUGAUCCCGCCCAUCCCACCAAUGAUCCCAUCCUUCCCAGUGAUCCCAUCCAUCAUCCAAUGAUCCCAUCCAUCCCUGUGAUCCCCCCCAUCAUCCAAUGAUGCCAUCCAUUCCAGUGACCCCACCCACCAUUCGGUGAUCCCAUCCAUCCCAGUGAUCCCAUCCAUCCCAGUGACCCCACCCAUCAUUCAAUGAUCCCAUCCAUCCCAGCACCACCACCUCGGUGACCCCACUGAUGCCACCAGUGAUCCCACCCAUCCCACCAAUGAUCCCAUCCAUCCCAAUGAUCCCAGUCAUCACACCCACCAUUCAAUGAUCCCAUCCAUCCCAGUGAUCCCCCCCAUCAUCCAAUGAUGCCAUCCAUCCCAGUGACCCCACCCAUCAUACAGUGACCCCACCCAUCCCAGUGAUCCCAGCAGUCCCACCCACCAUUCAAUGUUCCAAUCCAUCCCACCAAUCCCAUCCAUCCCAAUGAUCCCACCCAUCCCAGUGACCCCACCCAUCCCAGUGAUCCCAGCAAUCCCACCCACCAUUCGGUGAUCCCAUCCAUCCCAAUGAUCCCAUCCAUCCCAAUGAUCCCAUCCAUCCCAGCGAUCCCUCCCAUCAUCCAAUGAUCCCAUCCAUCUCAGCACCACCACCUCAGUGACCCCACUGGUGCCACCAGCGAGCCCACCCAUCACACCAAUGAUCCCAACCAUCCAAGCGAUCCCACCCAUCAACCAAUGAUCCCAUCCAUCCCAGUGACCCCACCCAUCAUUCAGUGACCCCACCCAUCCCAGUGAUCCCAGCGAUCCCACCCACCAUUCGGUGAUCCCAUCCAUCCCAGUGAUCCCAUCCGUCAUCCAAUGGUGCCAUCCAUCCCAGUGACCCCACCCAUCAUCCAAUGAUCCCAUCCAUCCCAGCACCACCACCUCGGUGACCCCACUGAUGCCACCAGUGAUCCCGCCCAUCCCACCAAUGAUCCCCUCCAUCCCAGUAAUCCCAUCCAUCAUUCAAUGAUCCCAUCCAUCCCAGUGAUCCCAAUCAUCCCAGUCUUCCCCCCCAUCAUCCAAUGAUGCCAUCCAUCCCAGUGACCCCACCCAUCAUUCAGUGACCCCACCCAUCCCAGUGAUCCCAGCGAUCCCACCCACCAUUCGGUGAUCCCAUCCAUCCCAGCGAUCCCACCCAACAUCCAAUGAUGCCAUCCAUCCCAGCGACCCCACCCAUCAUUCAAUGAUCCCAUCCAUCCCAGAACCACCACCUCAGUGACCCCACUGAUGCCACCAGCGAGCCCACCCAUCACACCAAUGAUCCGAAUCAUCCAGCAAUCCCACCCAUCAUCCAAUGAUCCCAUCCAUCCCAGUGACCCCACCCAUCGUUCAGUGACCCCACCCAUCCCAGUGAUCCCAGCAAUCCCACCCACCAUUCGGUGCUCCCAUCCAUCCCAGUGAUCCCAUCCAUCCCAGCACCACCACCUCGGUGACCCCACUGAUGCCACCAGUGAUCCAGUCCAUCCCACCAACGAUCCCAUCCAUCCCAGUGAUCCCAUCCAUCCCAAUGAUGCCAUCCAUCCCAGUGACCCCACCCAUCGUUCAGUGAUCCCACCCAUCCCAGUGAUCCCAGUGAUCCCACCAACCAUUCGGUGAUCCCAUCCAUCCCAAUGAUCCCAUCCUUCCCUGUGAUCCCCCCCAUCAUCCGAUGAUGCCAUCCAUCCCAGCACCACCACCUCGGUGACCCCACUGAUACCACCGGUGAUCCCGCCCAUCCCACUAAUGAUCCCAUGCAUCCCAGUGAUCCCACCCAGCAUUCAGUGAUCCCAUCCAUGCCAAUGAUCCCAUCCAUCAUCCAAUGAUGCCAUCCAUCCCCGUGACCCCACCCAUCAUUCAGUGACCCCACCAAUCCCAGUGACCCCACCCAUCAUUCAGUGACCCCACCCAUCCAGUGAUCCCAGCGAUCCCACCCACCAUUCGGUGAUCCCAUCCAUCCCAGCGAUCCCACCCAACAUCCAAUGAUGCCAUCCAUCCCAGCGACCCCACCCAUCAUUCAAUGAUCCCAUCCAUCCCAGCACCACCACCUCGGUGACCCCACUGAUGCCACCAGUGAUCCCACCCAUCCCACCAAUGAUCCCCUCCAUCCCAGUGAUCCCAUCCAUCAUCCAAUGAUGCCAUCCAUCCCAGUGACCCCACGCAUCAUACAGUGAUCCCACCCAUCCCAGAGAUCCCAGUGAUCCCACCCACCAUUCGGUGACCCCAUCCAUCCCAGUGAUCCCACCCAUCAUUCAGUGAUCCCAUCCACCCCAGAACCACCACCUCGGUGACCCCACUGAUGCCACCAGUGAUCCCACCCAUCCCACCAAUGAUCCCAUCCAUCCCAAUGAUCCCAUCCAUCCCAUAACCACCACCUCGGUGACCACACUGAUCCCGCCAAUGAUCCCAUCCAUCCCAAUGAUCUCAUCCAUCCCAC
ensembl:lncRNA